GCGGAUAUGGUGUUUAAUGGUAGCAUCCCUGCCUUCCAAGCAGGUGGUGAGGGUUCGAAUCCCUUUAUCCGCUCCA
rnacentral:tRNA from 1 species